CUCGCGUCAACUACUUGCUGAUACUGUAACAUAUGCUUUCAGUACCACUACGAGUGUCAGCCGAAGUAUAAAAUGAGAAGUAGGUGGGUGAGAUAUGAUGCAUCUCUUGUAAUUGUAAUGAAAAACGUGAAAAAGAAAAAGAGAAGUAUUUGGGUUAGGAGAGUGGAUAAUGAGAAGAUUGCCAAAUGGUGCCUGUAAUAACCUUUUGCAAGAACUUAGUAUCGAGAGGAUGGAUACUUUUGAAAACUUUUGCAGACUGUCCUCAAAUGAUCUGGAGUGUUUGUUGACGUUAAUAGCGCCCGUCAUAUCAAAACGAGACUCAAACUUCCGUACUGCUAUAUCAGCAAAGGAACGUUUGCUUGUCACUCUACGAUUUAUAGCUACAGGAGACUCAUACAAGCCCCUAACGUACUUGUUUCGUAUUCCUGUCAGCAAGAUUUCUCGUACCCGAUGUAUGUAGAGCCAUUUUUGACGUCUUGAAAAGGAAAAAAAAAUGUUCAAAUGUGUGUGAAAUCUUAUGGGACUUAACUUCUAAGACCAUCAGUCCCUAAGCUUACACACUACUUAACCUAAAUUAUCCUAAGGACAAACACACACACCCAUGGCCGAGGGAGGACUCGAACCUCCGCCGGGACCAGCCGUACAGCCUAUGACUGGAGCGCCCCAGACCGCUCGGCUAAUCCCGCGCGGCUUUGAAAGGGAAAAUUAUUUGAAGACACCUAAAACAACAAGCGAGUGGAUGCAGGUGGCAAAGGGGUUUGAAGAGAACUGGAACUUUCCACACUGCAUUGGGGCAUUGGAUGGGAAGCAUAUUGUGAUGCAAGCUCCAAAAGAUAGUGGAAGCUAUUAUUAUAAUUAUAAACAUUGUCACAGUGUUGUUUUAUUGGCACUUGUAGAUGCCAGCUACAAGUUAUUAUACAUGGAUGUAGGCUGCAAUGGAAGAGUUAAGGAUGGUGGUGUAUUCAGUACCUGUUUGUUAUAUUCAGCCUUGGAGCAAGGACAUCUUAACAUUCUUCUGCCCAAUCCACUCCCAAGCAGAGAAAAGGACACCCCCUAUGUAAUCAUUGCAGAUGAUGCAUUUCCAAUGAGGUCAUAUUUAAUGAAGCCCUAUCCCUUCCAUAAUCAACCAGGUCCGAACAGAGUGUUUAAUUAUGGACUAUCAAGGGCCAGAAGAGUUGUGGAACAUUUUUUUUGGCCACAUUGCACAACGGUUUAGGAUAUUGAGGCUUCCAUUGUUACUAGGUCCUGAAAAACUGUAAUAAUAGUUUCAGCUAUAUGUGCCUUACACUAUUUCUUAAUGGACAGGUAAAACAGCAAUUAUGCAAACUGAAGUAAUUUUGAUGUAGAGGAUGUACAGAAUGGUGAGGUAAUAGGAGCCUCAAAGAAGAAUGAAGACCAAGGAACACACAAUUUAAUCCCCAUUCAAACAGGACAAUGUAACAGAAAUUCUAAUGAUACUGGAGCAAUUCGUGAAGAAUUCAUGAAUUACUUUGUAUCGCCAUUAGGUGAAGUACGUUGGCAGUAAAAAUACAUUUAAAAUAUAAACUGUAGACUUGGAACAUAUAUUUGCUGCCUAUUACUCAUCAUUUAUAGCCUUACCAUUAAGUUCAGUAGUGAUGUUCCCCUUUUCUGUGGCUGGCUGUGCCAGCACUCAUUUCACUACAUUCCAUAUGGCCCUAAGCAUGUUUUCGGAGUUACUGAUUUCUGACAUUAGGUACAUUUUCCUGGACUUUAUAAUAACCUUUCUCAGUAAUUUUGAGUAUUUUUUGUAAUGUGCAAUUACUGCACGACCAGUUGAACACUUACUUACUUAAUGUUAAAUUGCAAAGAUUGGCUGCAAUGAAAAGAAGUAUAAAGCCUAUCAGUAUCUGCCAGGAAGCCUCUUAGUAAGUAGUGAAAUUUAGUUUAAGAUCAGAAGAAUUGGAGCUUGCACUACUUGACAAAAGUUGUACAUAAUUUUGUUCCACAUGGUCAUAAUAUAUGGGCACUCAAUGUAAUUACACCAUGUGUAUGGUAUGCUGUGGUACAGUAGGAUAUUCUAUGAAAUCAACUAUUAAUGAAUAAUACAUUUACGAAUUAACAAACAAU